rnacentral:rRNA from 1 species
CCUACUGGAGGAUCCCCUGGGGAAUAUUGCACAAUGGGCGCAAGCCUGAUCCAUCCUUGCCGCGUGGGUGAAGAAGGCCCUAGGGUUGUAAACCCCUUUCAGCGGGGAAGAUAAUGACGGUACCCGCAGAAGAGGUCCCGGCUAGAUCCGUGUCACCUUCCUUGGUAAUACCUAGGGGACUACUUUUGUUCCGAAUUACUGGGCGUGAAGCGCGUGUUAGCGGUUCUGUCAAUCCGACGUGAGAGCUCCUGGCUUAACUGGGAGAGGCCGUUCGAUACUGCGGGACUUGACGUCGGGAGAGGGACGUGGAAUUUCCGGCGUAGUGGUGGAAUGCUCAAAUAUCGGAAGGAACACCUCUGGCGAAUGCGGCGUCCUGGCCCGCACCUGACUCUAAGACGCAAAACCGUGGGUAGCCAACAGCAUUAAAUACCCCGGUAUUCCGCGCCUUAUACGUAGGAUACUACGUGUUGAUGACUAUCGUCAUCAGUGCCGUAGCUAACGCGUUGGUAUCCCGCCUGGGGACUACGGCCUCCAGGCUAAAACUCCCUGGAAUUGACCGAAUCUCUUCACGAUCCCCGACUACGCAGCUCAAAUUCUA